UGCCCUAGUAACGGCGAGUGAAGCGGCAACAGCUCAAAUUUGAAAUCUGGCUUCGGCCCGAGUUGUAAUUUGUAGAGGAAACUUUUGGUGAGGCACCUUCUGAGUCCCUUGGAACAGGGCGCCAUAGAGGGUGAGAGCCCCGUAUAGUCGGAUGCCGAUCCAAUGUAAAGUUCCUUCGACGAGUCGAGUAGUUUGGGAAUGCUGCUCAAAAUGGGAGGUAAAUUUCUUCUAAAGCUAAAUAUAGGCCAGAGACCGAUAGCGCACAAGUAGAGUGAUCGAAAGAUGAAAAGCACUUUGAAAAGAGGGUUAAAUAGCACGUGAAAUUGUUGAAAGGGAAGCGUUUGUGACCAGACUUGCGCCGUUCCGAUCAUCCGGUGUUCUCACCGGUGCACUCGGGGCGGCUCAGGCCAGCAUCGGUUUUGGCGGGGGGAUAAAGGUCCAGGGAACGUAGCUCCUCCGGGAGUGUUAUAGCCCUGGGCGUAAUGCCCUCGCUGGGACCGAGGUUCGCGCAUCUGCAAGGAUGCUGGCGUAAUGGUCAUCAACGACCCGUCUUGAAACACGGACCAAGGAGUCAAGGUUUUGCGCGAGUGUUUGGGUGUAAAACCCGCACGCGUAAUGAAAGUGAACGUAGGUGAGAGCUUCGGCGCAUCAUCGACCGAUCCUGAUGUAUUCGGAUGGAUUUGAGUAAGAGCGUUAAGCCUUGGACCCGAAAGAUGGUGAACUAUGCUUGGAUAGGGUGAAGCCAGAGGAAACUCUGGUGGAGGCUCGCAGCGGUUCUGACGUGCAAAUCGAUCGUCAAAUCUGAGCA
rnacentral:rRNA from 1 species